rnacentral:rRNA from 1 species
CGGACGGGUGAGUAAUGUCUGGGAAACUGCCUGAUGGAGGGGGAUAACUACUGGAAACGGUAGCUAAUACCGCAUAGCGUCGCAAGACCAAAGAGGGGGACCUUCGGGCCUCUUGCCAUCGGAUGUGCCCAGAUGGGAUUAGCUAGUAGGUGGGGUAACGGCUCACCUAGGCGACGAUCCCUAGCUGGUCUGAGAGGAUGACCAGCCACACUGGAACUGAGACACGGUCCAG